AUACGGAGGGUGCAAGCGUUACUCGGAAUCACUGGGCGUAAAGCGCGCGCAGGCGGCUAUUUAAGUUGGAUGUGAAAGCCUAUGGCUCAACCAUAGAACUGCAUCCAAAACUAUUUAGCUAGAGUGUGGGAGAGGAAGAUGGAAUUAGUUGUGUAGGGGUAAAAUCCGUAGAGAUAACUAGGAAUACCGAAAGCGAAGGCAAUCUUCUGGAACACUACUGACGCUGAGGCGCGAAAGCGUGGGGAGCAAACAGGAUUAGAAACCCUAGUAGUCC
rnacentral:rRNA from 1 species